UACGUAGGGCGCAAGCGUUGUUCGGAUUUACUGGGCGUAAAGAGCUCGUAGGCGGUUUGUCGCGUCUGCCGUGAAAGUCCGGGGCUCAACCUCGGAACUGCGUCUGAAACUACUCGACUAGAGUACUGGAGAGGGUAACGGAAUUCACGGUGUAGCAGUGAAAUGCGUAGAUAUCGUGAGGAACACCAGAGGCGAAGGCGGUUACCUGGACAGUUACUGACGCUCAGGCACGAAAGCAUGGGGAGCAAAAGGG
rnacentral:rRNA from 1 species